rnacentral:rRNA from 1 species
UACGAAGGGGGGCUAGCGUUGCUCGGAAUCACUGGGCGUAAAGCGCACGUAGGCGGCUUCUUAAGUCAGGGGUGAAAUCCUGGAGCUCAACUCCAGAACUGCCUUUGAUACUGGGAGGCUCGAGUCCGGGAGAGGUGAGUGGAACUGCGAGUGUAGAGGUGAAAUUCGUAGAUAUUCGCAAGAACACCAGUGGCGAAGGCGGCUCACUGGCCCGAUACUGACGCUGAGGCACGAAAGCGUGGGGAGCAAACAGG